UGCUCAGAUUGAACGCUGGCGGCAGGCCUAACACAUGCAAGUCGAGCGGCAGCGGGAAAGUAGCUUGCUACUUUUGCCGGCGAGCGGCGGACGGGUGAGUAAUGCCUGGGGAUCUGCCCAGUCGAGGGGGAUAACUACUGGAAACGGUAGCUAAUACCGCAUACGCCCUACGGGGGAAAGCAGGGGACCUUCGGGCCUUGCGCGAUUGGAUGAACCCAGGUGGGAUUAGCUAGUUGGUGAGGUAAUGGCUCACCAAGGCGACGAUCCCUAGCUGGUCUGAGAGGAUGAUCAGCCACACUGGAACUGAGACACGGUCCAGACUCCUACGGGAGGCAGCAGUGGGGAAUAUUGCACAAUGGGGGAAACCCUGAUGCAGCCAUGCCGCGUGUGUGAAGAAGGCCUUCGGGUUGUAAAGCACUUUCAGCGAGGAGGAAAGGUUGGUAGCUAAUAACUGCCAGCUG
rnacentral:rRNA from 1 species